UGAGAGCAGCCGCUUCCCGGAAUCCGCAGCGAUGUUGUAAGAAUCACAAGUGUGGCUCGGUCUGGGCAAGUUUUAAGGCAAACAGGUACUUUUUAGCGUUCACGGAAACGUUGCUCUGCGAUUACGAGACUGAUAUCGCAUCGAGAAAUGCUGUGGAUCAUAUUUUUGCGGGAUACGGGCGCCGCGAACGUUGCUAUGUACGGCGGGCGCGAAGGAGGAAUCGCCCAUGUCGAGGUUCGAAAAAUUCGAUUAUCUCACGUGGGUACUACAGGGCACUGAGAGCCUGAAUACGGAGAAUGGACGCAACAUGCCGUGCAGCCCGUGCUUGUUUCCCGCCGUGGCCACAGAUCAUGUUACGAUGCUACAGCUGGAAUGUGGAUCUGCAUUGUAGACUGAGGCGUAAUCUGAAGUUGGCGUGAUGUACGAGGAAGCCACACUGUGCAAGACGGGAACUGGAUAAAGUGUCACCUGCAGACGGCGGCGGACUGCACUCAAGUGAAAAUUCCUCUGCUUUAGUUGCCGUACACUUGACCUGGGAGUUGUUUUGCUCUGUGUCAACUUCUGGGGAUGCACUUGGCUGGCUUGAUUUGUCUCCUCCCAUGUGUGAUGCUUGUGAUGGGGAUUCCUGCCCAGUUUCGUGAGUGUCAACCAAGACAGAGGUCUGUUAAAAGUGCAGUAAGGUGAAGCUUGUUUUCAGUAAUGAUACCCACAAAGUUUUUUCUCUUUUCUUACUUUCACGUUAGCACCACGAAGCAACUAUGGCCAUGAGCGGCGUGAUGCCCAUACUGAAGAAGAAACGUGAUCAUGUAUUUACCAGUUUGUGCUUCCUUGGGAGUCUACAGUAGGGAUGCUCCUCGUGAAGCUGCAUUGGCAUAUGUACCUGCAUAGCAAUUUUUGUCUUAACUUUUGUAAGGCUAAAUUUUUUACAUAAUGUUUGGCCGUGGUUGAAUAUUUUCUCUAAAAUCUUUCUAGCAUGGAGUCACAAGUGAAAACUGCUCCUUACAGGGGUUGCAGCAGGUGUACGAGGAUUGGCUGGCUGAUCCAACACCGUACUGCAUCCCGCUUCAUUGUCCUGUGAAAACAAACACGGAGUCAGCAUAAUAACACACACGGAGAGACACAAAGAGUGUGGCUGACUGAUGUUCAUGAUUACUGUAAUCGACAAAUAUCAAGCUGAUGAGGGUAUGCUUUCAGUGCAUAGACAUGAAAAGCAGGGAGCACCUAUAUUAAUUACCAAGUAAAGCUUUGUCGUUCUACAGUGCAAUAUGACAUUCCAUUGCUUUGAUUUUGUAAUGAUGUAGGAUACAGUCAUGAGCAUGCACACAAUGCACCGAAGGAUGUUUCAUUUCAUUUGUAUUGACUGUAUUGGCACUAUGCAAUAAAGUGGAUUUGGCGCUA